AGUGAACGCUGGCGGUAGGCCUAACACAUGCAAGUCGAACGGCAGCACAGGAGAGCUUGCUCUCUGGGUGGCGAGUGGCGGACGGGUGAGGAAUACAUCGGAAUCUACUCUGUCGUGGGGGAUAGCGUAGGGAAACUUACGCUAAUACCGCAUACGACCUACGGGUGAAAGCAGGGGACCUUCGGGCCUUGCGCGAUUGAAUGAGCCGAUGUCGGAUUAGCGAGUUGGCGGGGUAAAGGCCCACCAAGGAGACGAUCCGUAGCUGGUCUGAGAGGAUGAUCAGCCACACUGGAACUGUGACACGGUCCAGACUCCUACGGGAGGCAGCAGUGGGGAAUAUUGGACAAUGGGCGCAAGCCUGAUCCAGCCAUACCGCGUGGGUGAAGAAGGCCUUCGGGUUGUAAAGCCCUUUUGUUGGGAAAGAAAUCCAGCUGGCUAAUACCCGGUUGGGAUGACGGUACCCAAAGAAUAAGCACCGGCUAACUUCGUGCCAGCCGCCGCCGUAA
rnacentral:rRNA from 1 species